rnacentral:rRNA from 1 species
CAGCCGCCGCGGUAAUACGUAGGGGGCGAGCGUUAUCCGGAAUUAUUGGGCGUAAAGAGUACGUAGGUGGUUUGGAAAGCGUGUGGUGAAAUUGCGGGGCUUAACCCCGUCCAGCCAUGCGAACUUUCAGACUUGAGUGCAGGAGAGGGAAGUGGAAUUCCUAGUGUAGCGGUGAAAUGCGUAGAUAUUAGGAGGAACAUCAGUGGCGAAGGCGACUUCCUGGACUGUAACUGACACUGAGGUACGAAAGCGUGGGUAGCAAACAGGAUUAGAUACCCUGGUAGUCCACGCCGUAAACGAUGAGCACUAGGUGUCGGGGUCGCAAGACUUCGGUGCCGCAGUUAACGCAUUAAGUGCUCCGCCUGGGGAGUACGUGCGCAAGCAUGAAACUCAAAGGAAUUGACGGGGACCCGCACAAGCAGCGGAGCAUGUGGUUUAAUUCGAAGCAACGCGAAGAACCUUACCAGGGCUUGACAUCCCUCUGACCGACCGGUAACGCGGUCUUCUCUUCGGAGCAGAGGUGACAGGUGGUGCAUGGCC